CAGCCGGCGGCGUGCACCCCUCAGCCGUCGCCGCUCUGCCGCCUCCCGCCGGGCUGGGCCGCACCGAGACGGCUCCGCCUCCGGUAAGAGGUCAGGGGGAGGGAGCCAGCAGCCGGCAGCCACCACCACCACGAUGGCGGCCAGGAGGCCGCAGAGCAGCCCCAAGGGGAAGCCCGGCCGGCGGCGCGCAGGAAAUAAACGUUCAGCUGCUCCGGAAAAUGAAGACGUCGCUCAGAGGAAAGCAGUCCUGGAAGCUGCUACUAGAAAGAAGAUUGAAUUUGAGAAAAAAGCACUGAAUAUUGUUGAGCAGCUUUUGGAAGAGAACAUUACAGAAGAGUUCCUUCUGAAUUCUGGAAAAAGUAUUACUCCAUCUCAUUAUAAAGACAUUGUUGAUGAACGGUCUAUCAUCAAAUUAUGUGGUUAUCCUAUAUGUCAAAAUAAACUGGAAAAUGUACCAAAACAGAAGUACAGAAUUUCAACAAAAACUAACAGAGUUUAUGAUAUUACUGAAAGAAAGUGCUUCUGCAGCAACUUCUGCUACAGAGCAUCUAAAUAUUUUGAAGCUCAAAUUUCCAAAAGUCCAGUAUGGAUGCGAGAAGAAGAAAUACCACCAGACAUAGAGCUGCUGAAGGAGGGGCAGAGCGGCGAGUCUGGAGAAGAGGUGAAACUACGUGAUGAAGCAAUUAAAGCUUCUGACAUUGAAAAUCCUAGGCUAUCUUCAAAUCCAUGUGAAUCUACUUCUCGUGACACAGCCAGUGACAGCAGUAGUGAUACCGAACAAGAAUUUGUUUCUUCUGUUCUACCAGGAAGUCAGUCAAGCUCAGCUAAUCUUGCACAGCAAUUGCACAGAAACAGCAUCCUCAAAAAGAAAUAUAUUGAGAAAGUCUAUUCCAGCCCUAAAGCUGAAGACUUGGAUGUGGUAGAAGCCACUGAACAACUAUCAAAUUGUAAAUUAGAUGUUCAGGAUGAAAUGCAUGCUUGCUCUGUUCAAAAUAACGUAACUCCAACACCUUCAAAAAAUCCUACUCCAGGAACAUCAAAUGUUUCAGAAAAUGUUGAAAACACCUUUAGUGGAUCACAGAUAGUUUUUCUAGGUGUGAGCAAAAAAGGGGCAGAACGUCUUACAAGAAUACUAGUUAACUCAAAACAAUAUAAAAAAAAUGAACUGCGGGAUCCAGUUAAUUCCUUGGCUGCCAAAGGCAGUUUAUUAGAAGUCCUUAAGCAAACACUUACUGAAUGGAGAACUGAGGAAACUUUAAAAUUUCUCUAUGGCCCAAACUACACUUCUUUAUGCUCGUCAGAAUGCAAAUCAUCUGCCAACCAAGAAAGUGAAGAACGUGACGAGGAUGACCUAGAUGCAGAUGAUGAUCUUGACACUGUUGCACCAGGGGAGUCUGAAAACAGUUUGAACUAUUCCUUACCUUAUACAGGCUCAGGUGGAGUAGCUAAGCCUGUGCCAAGUUACGAAAAGUUAAAAGAAGAAACAGAAUUCCUAGAACUCCGAGUAAAAGAGUUCUAUAAAGGGAAGUGCAUCUUGGCUGAAGAGGCAGUGACACAUGCACAAACAGAGGAACUUCCAAGCAAAGACAAAGAUGAUGAACAGCAAGACCUCACGUUCCCACUUGUUGAUUCAAAUGCACAAAUGCAGAUUAGAAAGCGAAUCGUCCUUGAAAAACUGAGAAAAGUAUUACCUGCAGUUUUGGGCCCUCUUCAGAUUACUCUAGGGGAUGUUUACACUGAGCUAAAAAAUCUUGUGAAAACUUUUCAGUAAUGCCACGUUCCCUGUGGACUAACAAGCCCUUCCUUGCUCCUGACAGUGGCUGGGUCACCAGGAGUAUUUGCAGAUUUUUAAAAACUAGGCCAGUGGUCUCUGGAGGACGGUGUUGCACAGGAGCUUCAGGACAGGUGUUAUACUGAAGGGUUGUGGAAGCCUCACUUCAUCCAGUCUGGUGACAGAGGUACAUCAGCAGUUCUGUACUGCCACAUGCUGCUGGUUAUCUGUCUUAGGACUACCUCCUUCAGAAAUAGCAUAUUGAUGGCAAUGACUAGUGUUGAGACCUUGCCAAUCAAUACUACCAUUGAAUAAGAGUUAAUUGACACAAAUAACUGCAUCUCUCAGUUUGUGUAAAGAGUGACACCUUCCUGUACUCUAAUCAAUAAUAACUCCUUGUAGAGCAUUGAAAUAAAGCUGCUUUCUCUCUUUGACAGAGUUUUCCCUGGUGAUUUGGAUCUGUCUCUUCCAUUGUGUCUUACCAUAGCAGAUUAACUGGAAUGUUACAUAUGAAUUGCCUGUCAAGAUGAUUCCAUCAGGCAUUUCUUGGUAGUGUUUAUCACUGUCAUCAGUAUUGAGUCAAGACCUUCAGCCUUUGCUUUGUUUCUUUUCCUAUAACCUGAAAAAUGAAACAGCUUUGUUGCCAGCUACUUCCAUUAGCUAUUUCAAAUAACAACUGGUAAACAUGCAUCUUUUAAUAGCAAAAAUCAUCUGUAUUUACCAAAAUUAUUGGUUCUAGUUUGGCAUGAUGGUUCCUAUACAUGUAGUAUAAUACACUGCUUUUCCUUUCAUCAUUUAACAAAACUAGGGCAGUUAAGGUACUAUUUGAGUAAACAUUGCUUCAAAAUCUUACUUUGGUUGGAAGACUUGGAGAUUUGAGAAGGAAAACAGGAUAAUAUUGCUUUGUUCAUUACUACUCUUAAAAAUAUUUUUGAAUAUAUUUCUGAAAAAAGGGAAAUGAUCCUUUAAAACACCUUCAUAACUAUUUUUAAUGAUUAUUUUGAAUAUAACUGGGUAGAUUUU